GUCGUCAGCUCGUGUCGUGAGAUGUUGGUUAAGUCCCGCAACGAGCGCAACCCCUAUUGUUAGUUGCCAUCAUUCAGUUGGGCACUCUAGCGAGACUGCCGGUAAUAAACCGGAGGAAGGUGGGGAUGACGUCAAAUCAUCAUGCCCCUUAUGACCUGGGCUACACACGUGCUACAAUGGUUGGUACAACGAGUUGCGAGUCGGUGACGGCGAGCUAAUCUCUUAAAGCCAAUCUCAGUUCGGAUUGUAGGCUGCAACUCGCCUACAUGAAGUCGGAAUCGCUAGUAAUCGCGGAUCAGCACGCCGCGGUGAAUACGUUCCCGGGCCUU
rnacentral:rRNA from 1 species